rnacentral:rRNA from 1 species
GACGAACGCUGGCGGCGUGCUUAACACAUGCAAGUCGAACGGAAAGGCCCUGCUUUUGUGGGGUGCUCGAGUGGCGAACGGGUGAGUAACACGUGAGUAACCUGCCCUUGACUUUGGGAUAACUUCAGGAAACUGGGGCUAAUACCGGAUAGGAGCUCCUGCUGCAUGGUGGGGGUUGGAAAGUUUCGGCGGUUGGGGAUGGACUCGCGGCUUAUCAGCUUGUUGGUGGGGUAGUGGCUUACCAAGGCUUUGACGGGUAGCCGGCCUGAGAGGGUGACCGGCCACAUUGGGACUGAGAGACGGCCCAGACUCCUACGGGAGGCAGCAGUGGGGAAUAUUACACAAUGGGCGGAAGCCUGAUGCAGCGACGCCGCGUGCGGGAUGACGGCCUUCUGGUUGUAAACCGCUGUCUCCUGUGACGAAGCGUGAGUGACGGUAAUGGGUAAAGAAGCACCGGCUAACUACGUG